rnacentral:rRNA from 1 species
CUACGGGACGCAGCAGUGGGGAAUAUUGCACAAUGGAGGAAACUCUGAUGCAGCAACGCCGCGUGGAGGAUGACACAUUUCGGUGCGUAAACUCCUUUUAUAUAAGAAGAUGAUGACGGUAUUAUAUGAAUAAGCACCGGCUAACUCCGUGCCAGCAGCCGCGGUAAUACGGGGGGUGCAAGCGUUACUCGGAAUCACUGGGCGUAAAGCGGGCGCAGGCGGGUAGAUAAGUUGGAAGUGAAAUCCUAUGGCUUAACCAUAGAACUGCUUCCAAAACUGUUUACCUAGAAUAUGGGAGAGGUAGAUGGAAUUUCUGGUGUAGGGGUAAAAUCCGUAGAGAUCAGAAGGAAUACCGAUUGCGAAGGCGAUCUACUGGAACAUUAUUGACGCUGAGGCUCGAAAGCGUGGGGAGCAAACAGGAUUAGAUACCCUCGUAGUC